rnacentral:misc_RNA from 1 species
UCCGGCUUGUCACCGGCAGUCUCCUUAGAGUCCCCAACUCAAUGAUGGUAACUAAGGACAAGGGUUGCGCUCGUUACGGGACUUAACCCAACAUCUCACGACACGAGCUGACGACAGCCAUGCAGCACCUGUGGUAUGGCUCCCUCGCGGGCACUUCAGCCUUUCAGCUACUUUCCAUACCGGUCAAGGGUAGGUAAGGUUCUUCGCGUUGCAUCGAAUUAAACCACAUGCUCCACCGCUUGUGCGGGUCCCCGUCAAUUCCUUUGAGUUUUAGCCUUGCGGCCGUACUCCCCAGGCGGAGAACUUAACGCGUUGGCUUCGGCACUCAGUCAGCUUCGCUAACCCAGCGCCUAGUUCUCAUCGUUUACCGCGUGGACUAC